CACAACAAAUUUCACUGGAAAACACUCACUGGAAAAAAAAAAUCACGCAGUACAUCAAAACCACACUGACAAAAAACACGCACUACACACCGUAAACAUUCACUUAGAAA